UACGGAGGGUGCGAGCGUUUGUCCGGAAUCACUGGGCGUAAAGGGUGCGUAGGCGGCCCUGUAAGUCAGUGGUGAAAUACUGCAGCUUAACUGUAGCAUUGCCAUUGAUACUGUAGGGCUUGAGUACAGAUGAGGUAGGCGGAAUUGAUGGUGUAGCGGUGAAAUGCAUAGAUACCAUCAAGAACACCGAUUGCGAAGGCAGCUUACUAAGCUGUAACUGACGCUGACGGCAGCGAAAAGCGUGGGGGAUCCGAACAGGG
rnacentral:rRNA from 1 species